GUGUUUCCCUCUGUGAUCCAUCCCCUUCAGAGCUGAGACACUCAGGACUGAACAGACUGCACAGUUUCUGUGACUGCGCCUCCAAAACACCUUCUUUGAAACCACACAUGAUAGAAGGGCUUUAUAUUUGCAGCAGCACUACUAAAGUCGGCAGGAAUGUUGCUGCAGGAAAACAUCCCUGCAGAUCACCAUCAUUGUCAGACUGACUGUGCCUCCUCUGUGCAGUGUCAAGAUCCUCCCUAAAUGAGUGUUCCUCAGCUAUCCUGCUUCUGUGCUGCUUGCCACACAUCAAACACUGGCC